UGACUGGGACUUAGCUUGCGCGAAAAGA
rnacentral:sRNA from 1 species